UUGACCUCAAAUCAGGUAGGACUACCCGCUGAACUUAAGCAUAUCAAUAAGCGGAGGAAAAGAAACUAACAAGGAUUCCCUUAGUAACUGCGAGUGAAGAGGGAAAAGCUCAAAUUUAAAAUCUGGCAGUGUUUCACUGUCCGAGUUGUAACCUAGAGAAGUGUAACCUGCACUGGACCGUGUACAAGUCUCCUGGAAUGGAGCAUCACAGAGGGUGAGAAUCCCGUCUUUGACAUGGACUGCCAGUGCAUUGUGGUUGUGCUCUCAACGAGUCGAGUUGUUUGGGAAUGCAGCUCUAAAUGGGUGGUAAAUUCCAUCUAAAGCUAAAUAUUGGCGAGAGACCGAUAGCGAACAAGUACCGUGAGGGAAAGAUGAAAAGAACUUUGGAAAGAGAGUUAAACAGUAUGUGAAAUUGUUGAAAGGGAAACGUUUGAAGUCAGUCGCGUCGGCUGGGGAUCAACCUGACUUUUUGUUGGGUGUACUUCCUGG
rnacentral:rRNA from 1 species